UACGUAGGGGGCGAGCGUUGUCCGGAAUCAUUGGGCGUAAAGCGCGUGUAGGCGGCCCGGUAAGUCCGCUGUGAAAGUCCAGGGCUCAACCCUGGGAUGCCGGUGGAUACUGUCGGGCUCGAGUCCGGAAGAGGCGAGUGGAAUUCCUGGUGUAGCGGUGAAAUGCGCAGAUAUCAGGAGGAACACCGGUGGCGAAGGCGGAUCUCUGGGCCUUACCUGACGCUGAGGCGCGAAAGCUAGGGGAGCGAACAGG
rnacentral:rRNA from 1 species